AUUCUUUUUUUAAGGCUUCAUAUUAACCUUAAUUUCUCUAUCUAAAUUUUCUAUAAAUGGGUAUGGUAUUUUAUUUUGUGUUACUUUGUAGUCAUUUAUUUGGAAGGUAAGAAAAGUAUUUACAUCAGCAGUUAUCAAAUGCUAAUUUAUAAACCACCUGCAUCAGAAUUAUCUGGGGAAUUUAAAUUUUAGGUCUCUACUCCAUGCUCUGUGCCGUCCUCUCAACAGUCUGAUUCAGCCUAGGGAUCUGUAUAUUUAAAAGCUUCCAAAGACAUUGUGGUAGGUAGCUGGAUUUGGGAAUCACUGGUCAAAAUAGUUUUGUGGAAAUUUGUGACUGGAGUUGUAAGGCAUCACUUGAUUGACUGCAUAAAGGACUAUAAACUUGUGAAUGUUCUAUUCACGUGCUCCCAACCAAACUAACCAGAAUUCAGAUUCACUGAAGCUAAACUACAAGCAUGGAUGUGAAAGAGUAAAGUUGGGCAUUCAGGAGAGGAAGUAAUUUACAAAUAGACCGUGUGUACUCUUACCUUUUGACAUAACCUUGAGCAGUUAAUCUUAAAUAGACUCUGUUAGGCAUAAAAAGCUCAAAGGCUUUUCCUUUAUAAAACUAACUAGCAGGAAUAGGGAAUACCUAUCAGGCUAGGUACCCAUACACACACUUACCCCUCCACACCCCCAACCUCCUCCCCACAUAUGUAUGCUUAGAGCUUUUUACCUCUUACUGCAUGUAAGAACCCUUUCUGUAGCCUCCUGGGAUGGUAGGAACUGUUCUACAACUGUAACCUUGGAAAGUUAAGACAGUAAAAAUAGGUUUCAAUUCUGAACACAAAAUCCGUAAAACUAACACCUAAGCAAGCACUUCUGUUCAAUUGUCGUACAUUAAGUAUUAAGAUUAUUUGGUGCCUUGUUUAAAAUGUAAAGUUUGGGGACAAAAUUAAAAAAUUAUGUGUGAAAACAUAUUCUAAAUGAAAUUUCAUUAAUUAGCAUACAGGAAUUAAGAAAGAGAAAAAAAUAGGGGCACCUGGGUGGCUCAGUCGGUUAAGCGUCUGACCUCGGCUCAGGUCAUGAUUUCACAGUUCGUGGCUCAAGCCCCACGUCGGGCUCUGUGCUGACAGCUCAGAGCCUGGAGCCUGCUUCAGAUUCUGUGUCUCCCUCUCUCUGCCCCUCCCCUGCUCAUGCUCUGUCUCUCUGUCUCAAAAAUAAAUUUAAAAAAAAUUUUUUUAAAAAUUUAAGAAAGAGAAAAACACGUCUUUGUAACUUCCCAAGAUUGUUUCAGUUAUAUGACUCCUAAAAAGAAAAAGUUUAUUUUUAUAAUCAUAAUUUUCCCUUUUAUUCAAAUCUUCCAUAUUAUUUUUUUAGAUUUGUAUUUUAGGUAAUUUUGAAUAAAUACAAAAUAAAUAACAGAGUGAAUUCCCAUGUACUCAGCACUCAGCUUCAAUAAUUGUCAACUCAUAUUUUAUUUCAUCCAUGCCCCUCCUAUAUUCUGGCAUGUAGCUCUUAAAGAUAAAUGCUAUUUUUUUAAAACAUAAUGUCAUUUUCACGCCAAAAUAACUUCUUAAUAUUAUUAUCAGCUAUGUAGCCUGUGUUCAAAUUUCUAAUUGUUUUGUACAUGUCGUUAGUGAUUUGUUGUUUGGUUUUUUUCCUUACAGUCUGUUUCUUUGAGUCAGAAUCCAGAGUUCCAUACGUUGCAAUUAGUUGACAUGUCUUCUAAGUCUCUUUUAAUCCAUAGGUUCCCCUUCUAUCUCAUCUUUUUCUUCAUAUAACUUACUUAUUAAAGAAACUGAGUCUUUGUUCUGUACAGGUCCCACAGUCUGAAUUUGGUUGAUUGCAUUUCCCUCGUGUUGUUUUAACAUGUUCCUCUGUAUUUCCUGUAAAUUGGGUUGUUGGUUCUGGAUCCAGAGACUUCAUCAGAUUCAGGGCAUGUUUCUUUGUUUUGCAUGACUGCUUCAUAGGAGGAGGUGUGUUUUCUUCACGAGAGAGACAAUGUCUACUUCUCUCUUUUUUUGGUGAUAGUAGCAUCUGUUAAUGAUCAAUGCCUAGCUCCACUAAUUCAUUAACCAUUACUAAAUACAUUAGAAUAAGAUGUUUUAGUAAUUCACUGUUACUAAAUACUAAUGUACAUUAGUAUGUAAAUGUAAUACUAAAGUAGAUACAUUACUAUUUAGUAAUAGUGAAUUACUAAAAUAUCUAAUUCUAUCAUUCACUCUUCAUUGAUGAGUUAGAAUACUUCAGGAAAGAAAACCUUCCCCUAUAUGUACUACAGUUACCCAGUGAUAGAGUUUUUUAUAGUAAAGUCAAGGUAAAUGUUCAAUUCUUUCUCUUUACUCACCAGUUUUCUAAGAUAAUGAAUUGAUUCACCCUCUAAUGGUGACUGUUUUGUUCAAGUAUCAUAAACACAUGUAUUUUCAAAUAUUUGAUGUAAUUAAAUGCAUUGUACUUUCUAUCUUUUGAUGCCCAUCAAAAUUAUCCCAUCUUUGGCCAUUGCAAGCCUUUUCAAGAUGACUUCCCAAGUCCUUUUGACAUUAAUUUAUCAGAUGGAAUGGUAUGGAGAGAGAGAAAAAAAAACAUUCUAGGAUAUAGUUUUGAAGAAGAUAA